UACGAAGGGGGCUAGCGUUGCUCGGAAUCACUGGGCGUAAAGCGCACGUAGGCGGAUUGCUAAGUCAGGGGUGAAAUCCUGGAGCUCAACUCCAGAACUGCCUUUGAUACUGGCGAUCUUGAGUCCGGGAGAGGUGAGUGGAACUGCGAGUGUAGAGGUGAAAUUCGUAGAUAUUCGCAAGAACACCAGUGGCGGAGGCGGCUCACUGGCCCGGUACUGACGCUGAGGUGCGAAAGCGUGGGGAGCAAACAGG
rnacentral:rRNA from 1 species